rnacentral:ncRNA from 1 species
AGGAGCCGUGUGCGGUAAUACCGCUCGCACGGUUCUGGGAGGAGUAGAGGAAUUCAGCAAGCAAUUAUCGAACUGAAUUCCCGCUUACUCGAC